AUGAAGUAUCCGGUUCUAGUUGUCAUAAUGUCAAGGUACAACUCCGGGUCGUCCUUUUACCGAGGGACACGGCUAUUCGAACGGAUAAACUUCCCUGCAGGGGUGCACCACAUUUCCCAACACGCUGGAUCCCCUUUGUCCGGACACACUUUUCUGGGUCAUGCCCGGCCUCGGAAGAUCAACACGUCGCAGCCCUACCUAGGCACAACAGAGAGGUCAGCACACCGGUCUAAAUCCUAUGGCGCAGGGGUCUGGGCCCAUCGCCCAUUGCACACCUGCACGUUGCAUACGCGGCCGGCGAGAAGACCUAGCCUCCCUUAUACAAGAGCAGGCGUUUCAGUCCAACCCAGCGCGCCGCUCAGUCGCUGA
rnacentral:rRNA from 1 species